rnacentral:rRNA from 1 species
UACGAAGGGUGCAAACGUUGCUCGGAAUUAUUGGGCGUAAAGCGCACGUAGGCGGCUAUCUAAGUCGGAUGUGAAAUCCCUCGGCUUAACCAAGGAAGUGCACCCGAAACUGGAUAGCUUGAGUACAGAAGAGGAUCGCGGAAUUCCCGGUGUAGAGGUGAAAUUCGUAGAUAUCGGGAGGAACACCAGUGGCGAAGGCGGCUCACUGGCUCGUAACUGACGCUCAUGCACGACAGCGUGGGGAUCAAACAGG